UAUGCACACUUUUCUCUGUAAUUUUACAUAUUAUUUCUCUCUCUUUAUAUCUCUCAAGGUUCACCAUUGCACAUUCUCGGCCCUUUCAUUUCCCGGCAUCUUUGCCCGAAAAUAUCGCCGGAAAACACACUAUUGAUGCUGGGAAUCGGCGACAAGCUUUCUCUGAAGUCUGGAAUCUCAUUUUCCCUGCGAAAUAAUGCCCGAGAAAUCAUCCUGAACAACGCCAUUAUAUUGUCCCUUGAAUAUCUUUCACCGCCAUUUUAGAGCUCUUCAUUGUGUUAGUUACAGUUUCGAGGCUAAAAAUGAGUGGAAUGAGCUUCUGAUCUCUGCAACAUUACAAAAUCCUUGUUCCCGUUUUUCCCGCCACCCUUUUCGUGGCUUUUUGGCCGGAAUAAUCGCCAGAAGAUUUAUGUGACCGGAUAAAGCCGGAAUACAGUGGCAGAGCUUUAACUACGGUUCAUAUUUUCCGUGUUAGGUAGGGAGUAUGAAAUUUUGAUACCAUCUCUGGUUUUUUCCUGCAAAACGCUGGAAUAAGGCAAGGUACGAUCAAUUAAAUAUUAAUAUACAUCCAAAGAACUGUAGACCGUGUCUCGUUCUCUGUGUCUUGCUCUGCAACUUUACAGCACAUUUCACAGCAAAUAUGCUUUCUACUUUCUAUGUUUUGGUCCAGAUUUUUCCAUUUAAUGACGUAAUUUACGACGCAGACUUGUUCCAUUUACACUUGCUAAGCCUCAAGCCCAUCUACAUUUUAUAAUUUCCAGGCCAUUUUGUUCAGAAGAACCUUCCCUGCAUAUUCACAGAGAAAAGCAAAAAAAAAAAAAAGGGAAAAAGAAAAAAAAAUCAUCUAUACUCCCCUCCUUUGCCUUUUCUGAUAAAACUACCAUCUUCCGGUCAAAACUAUAUUGGAAAAGCUCAGAUUUGCAGACAAAUGGCAUAUUCUUGAUGGUUUCUCUAAUUGAUUCACCUUUUAUUUAUCUUUCUUGGAUUUGAACUUUGCAGGCAUUUAUUUACACAAAAACCACUUCUCCAGGCAUCUGUUUCCCUGGUUUUCUGGAAAAUGCUUUCAUUCACUGGAAACAUGUAACUUUCACUAUUUUCUCCUUUGAUUUUUUUUUUUGCUUUGUUUUCCUUAGUUUUUUUGGUCGGUUUCCUUUUCCUUAUGUAACAUUUUCCUGUCCUAGCAUAAGAUACAGAGCAUUGCAUUUCUCUGCAAGGUAUUUGAUGGUUUUUAAGCCUUAUUCUCCCGCGUUUUGGUUCUGCAACUUUAGCUUGAAAGUCUUCCCCUUUUCUCCAUAGAGCUCCCAUAUGGUAUUAUGAACACAUUAUUUCCGUUAUUCAUUUCACAGUGAAGCUUAAUAUUAUUCUUUUUCAGUUUGUUGGUUAUAUCUAACCAGUGUUAAAUACUACUCCAAACUCCGACCUUAGAUCUUUAAGUUGAAGUUAACAGUAGCAAGAUUCAUGACUCUUCCUUCAAUGGAGGGAGAAGAAGGGGAUUGUAAGCCUGUGAAGGACUCUAGGGUAACAAAACCAGUUGCAGAUGAAGUAGUCUUACUCAUAGACAAACCUAGCGAUGUGUCGAACAAAAAAAAAACAGUUGAAAACACAGAAGCUGAGAACUUGAUCACAGCAAGAGAUUCACAGUACUCUCAUGGCUCCUGCUCCUUCUCCAAAGACUCUGUUGCUUCUUUUCACAUUCAUUGUGAUGAUCAACCAAAGCCAAAAGUAGAUAACCAUAAAGAGAAGGCAAAGUCGAGUCCAGAGACCAAGCCUACUAAUCCUCCCAAUCGAGUUCUUUCAAGGUCUGUAUUUUCAAAGCCAAAAUCUAGGUUUGUAGAACCCAGCUACCCAUCUUCUGCAGAAGAAACCUUAAAUGCUCCAUUGAUUCAACAGAAGCAAGAAUAUAUAAGCUCACCAUACAGGGGUUCAACCCCUCGAGAAAGUACAAUUAGGGCUCGUAUAAGCUCACCAUUCAGAAGUUCACCAAAAGGAGGUGUAAAAGGAACACCAAAGAGCACUACUCCUUCUGUCAUUGAUGAGGAAGAAGAAGAAACAUACAAAGAUGAAGAUCUUCCUGGUAAAAAGCCAUGGCAAAAGAAACCAAGCAUCAGGGUUUUAGUAGAGUGGACUGCCUUUAUUCUGAUAACGGGUUGCUUAAUUUGUAGCUUAACUGUAAACCCAUUGAAGGACCGGACAAUCUGGGGCCUUGAAAUAUGGAAAUGGUGUCUAAUGGUUCUUGUUAUCUUCUGUGGAAGACUGGUUUCAGGGUGGUUCAUCACCCUUCUGGUAUUGCUCAUAGAGCAAAAUUUCAUGCUUAGAAAGAAGGUGCUAUACUUUGUAUAUGGACUGAGGAAAAGUGUUCAAAAAUGCCUUUGGCUUGGGCUUAUUCUUCUGGCUUGGUCUCUCUUAUUCGAUGACAAGGUAGAGCGAACAACCAAGAGCCACAAGAUCCUAUCCCAUGUUUCAAGAGCUCUGGUUGCCUUUCUUAUUGCUGCUGCUCUUUGGUUGGUUAAAACUCUUCUGGUAAAAGUGUUGGCGUCUUCUUUUCAUGUGAACACUUUCUUCGAUAGAAUUCAAGAAUCUAUAUUUCAUCAAUAUGUUCUCGAGGCUCUUUCAGGGCCUCCUGUAAUGGAGUUACAGGAGACAUUAAGUAAAGGUGGUGAUGGUGCUAGGAGUGCUGGAAAAUUGAGUUUUAGAACUGGGGCACAAGGGAAGAAAGUGAAGGUCGAAGAUGGGGUAAUAGAUGUGGAUAAGCUCCAUAAGAUGGAGCAGGACAAGGUAUCGGCAUGGACUAUGAAGAGAAUGGUUAAUGUGAUAAGAAGCUCUGGCUUGUCUACUAUUUCAAAUGCCCUUGAUGAGUCAGUGGAUGAGGAGGAGCAGAGGGAGAUCAACAGCGAGUGGGAAGCCAAGGCUGCUGCUUAUAGAAUAUUCAGGAAUGCUGCGAAGCCUGGUUCCAAGUAUAUUGAAGAAGAGGAUUUGCUUAGAUUCUUGAGGAAGAAUGAGGUGGAUAGCAUAUUUCCUCAGUUUGAAGGGGCGAUAGAGACAGGGAAGAUCAAGAAAUCGGCUCUGAGGAACUGGGUGGUGAAGGUGUACCUAGAUCGCAAAGCUCUUGCACACUCCUUGAAUGAUACCAAUACAGCCGUUAAUCAACUGCACAAGCUAGCGAGUGCAACUGCAAUAAUCAUUAUUAUAAUUGUCUGCCUGCUUUUCAUGGGAUUUGCAACGACUAAAGUUCUCUUUUUCAUAUCCUCACAGCUCUUAUUAGUGGUUUUCAUAUUCGGGAACACUUGCAAAACCAUGUUUGAAUCAAUCAUUUUCGUGUUCGUGAUGCAUCCCUUUGAUGUUGGGGAUCGAUGCGUUAUUGAUGGAGUCCAGAUGAUUGUGGAAGAGAUGAACAUCUUAACGACCAUUUUCUUGCGAUACGACAAUGAGAAAAUAUACUAUCCAAAUGCUGUGUUACUGACAAAACCAAUCAGCAACUUUUAUAGGAGCCCAGAGAUGGGGGAUAAUGUAGAGUUCUGUGUUGAUGUUUCAACUUCCAUGGAAAGCAUCGGAGCUCUCAAAGCCAGGAUACAGUCAUAUUUAGAGAGCAAACCUCAGCACUGGCAACCAAAGCACAGCGUAGUGGUAAAAGAUAUAGAGAACUUAAAUAAGAUGAAAAUGGGGCUCUAUGUUACACAUACCAUUAACCACCAGAACUAUGCGGAAAAGACUAGCAGGAGGUCAGACCUGGUUUUGGAGUUGAAGAAGAUAUUCGCGGAACUUGGCAUUCGCUACCGACUUUUGCCUCAGGAAGUUGAGAUCACUAGCAUGACAGGCCGCAUCCCAUUUUAGAGGGGAUAUGAUAUGUGGGCUGUUGCUAGGUUACGAAAUGCAUUGCUGAUUUAUCGGAACAUGCAAAAGUGUCCUCUAUAUGUAUUUUGGCCAUAGGAAGGUGGAAUAUAAUAUUUGGAAUCGGCUUGGGCCUGAGAGCUUCAUAGGUGAUGUUGGCAAUGCCACAUCUCAUGUUUGAUUCUUACAUUCGAACUACCCAAAAGAAAGAGUUGGACCCUGAUUUUGAGGGACACUGUGAUUGGACUGCAUCAUCAUCCGACGCGCCCACCAUCGACCUAUCAUGAACAACCGAAAUUAAACAAAAAUUACAUUCAAAAAUCAAGAUUCUGAUAUGAUCUCCGCUGUCCAUUAAAAAAAGGUGUGGAUGGAUAAGGGACGCAAUCCAAUAACUUGAUGGUUCUAAGGCCUUUUGAAGAACAAUUGCAGACCUACGAGGAAUUCAAUGAAGGGGGGAGCUACUGAACCUUGCAAUUCAGCCCCAUGGAGAGCCAAAGUUCGGGAGCUCGCCCGUCUCUCCCUUUUGGACAGG